CAGCCUCGCUGCUGCCUUGCAGUUUGAUCUCAGACUGCUGUGCUAGCAAUCAGCGAGACUCCGUGGGCGUAGGACCCUCCGCGCCAGGUGCGGGAUAUAAUCUUGUGGCGCGCCGUUUUUUAAGCCGGUCUGAAAAGCGCAAUAUUUGGGUGGGAGUGACCCAAUUUUCCAGGUGCGUCCGUCACCCCUUUCUUUGACUGGGAAAGGGAACUCCCCGACCCCUUGUGCUUCCCAAGUGAGGCAAUGCCUCGCCCUGCUUAGGCUCGCGCACGGUGCGCGCACCCACUGACCUGCGCCCACUGUCUGGCGCUCCCUAGUGAGAUGAACCCAGUACAUCAGAUGGAAAUGCAGAAAUCACCCGUCUUCUGCAUCACUCACGCUGGGAGCUGUAGACCGGAGCUGUUCCUAUUCGGCCAUCUUGGCUCCUCCCAACCUGAUGUCAAACCAAUAAACAAACUAACAACAUUGAGAAUCCCCCAAAAAUAUAGGGAAGAGAAUAGUCACUCAGAAAAGUUGCCGGUGAGUGCAUAUCUAAGGUAGACACAGAGGACCAUAGUGCUCUGUGGGAGCAAAACCAAGCAUCACUGACUGAAAUAUUAAGCCUCUGUAUGCCGCUGUGUCUGUGUGAACUAGUGAAUAUCCGCAUAUGCUUUUCUACACACAUAUAUUCUAGACCAUAUCAAACUAUUGUGAGUUAAAGACACUCAGACACUGCCUUAUAUAGACUUUAUCAGUAUUGUCCCUCACCCUCCCUGCCA
rnacentral:lncRNA from 10 species